UGCUCCUGCUGUGCUUCAAGCAAAAGGGAAAAUGGUUCCAAUGACCUUCCAGGAGUGUCCUGGUCUUCUGCUAGGAAACUCGUCCUUGGCUGAGAUGUUCUCUGUGAUGGUCCGAGCUUGGCUUUGCUGUCUGCCUCCCCAGCCUAAUCUUUUCUGUUGGGUCCUUCUCCUUCCCUGUCCUGGUCUUCUGCUAGGAAACUCGGCCUUGGCUGAGAUGUUCUCUGUGAUUAGCUUGGCUUUGCUGUCUGCCUCCCCAGCCUAAUCUUUUCUGUCGGGUCCUUCUCCUUCCUUCCCUUCCUCUAACUUCCUUGCCUCCUCAACUGCCCCUUUAGUGCCUGCCUCUCUUCUAGCCUCUGAAGGCCCUCUUUUCUCUCCUGUAGCGGGAGACCAUUUCAAGGACGGUGGAAGGACUUCUUCACAGCAGCAUUUUUGUAUGUGAGGAAGCAGAGGCUUGCUUAAGGACAGAAGGGAGAAACCCGUUGCAUUUUCUACAUGUGCCUAUUACAUUUUCUUACCCAUGUGGUGGAAAAGCAUAUCAAUGGACCAUCCAGUCCAAUGGAUGAAAAGCAUAUCAAUGGACCAUCCAGUCCAAUGGAUGAAAAGCAUAUCAAUGGACCAUCCAGUCCAAUGGAUAAAUAUCAACUUCAGAAGUACCGUGCUUUAUUAUUAUCGUUGAAAAUGCAUUCAUUCGUUCAUUGAGAAAAAUGCCUCAGUUUAGGGGAGAAGAGAGAGAGGAGAAUCCAGUAUGCAGUUGUUUUAUUGUUGAGUGAUUCCUGAAGUAGCCACAACAAGGAAGAAAAGUUUUCUCUCAGGGAGUAUAUUGCAACUGAACUGAAAUUUUAAUCUGCACAAAUGUGCUUGUGAAAAGUUCCAGUAAGUGAGAAUUGAGAAACCUGUAAGAACUGUAUGUUGCUAAGUUAAUAGUUACCCUAACUCUAGUUUUUGCAGAAAAGCUGAUCUGUAAUAGAAGGAAGAAAAUAUACAGUAGGUAUAUCGUUUGUUAUACUUUGAAAAAAGAUUUUUCAUGACAAAUUGCCCUGAUGUUAGAUACAUGUUUUUAUUUUUAAAAAUGUUCUCUAUAGGGAGUUCCCGUCGUGGCGCAGUGGUUAACGAAUCCGUCUAGGAACCAUGAGGUUGCGGGUUUGAUCCCUGCCCUUGCUCAGUGGGUUAACGAUCCGGAGUUGCCGUGAGCUGUGGUUUAGGUCGCAGACGCGACUCGGAUCCCGCGUUGCUGUGGCUCUGGCGUAGGCCGGAGGCUACGGCUCCGAUUCCACCCCUAGCCUGGGAACCUCCAUAUGCCGCGAGGGGGGCCCAAGAAAAAGGCAAAAAAAAAAAAAAAAAAAAAAAUGUUCUCUAUGGUCCAGGGAACUAUACUCAAUAUUUUAUAAUAACCUUUAAGGGAAAAGAAUCUGUGAAAAAAUAGAUAUAUAUAUUUGUAUAUAUAACUAAAUCGCUUUGCUGUUUUCCUGAAACUAACAAAAUAUUGUAAAUCAACUGGACUUCAAUUUUUAAAAAAUGUUCUUUUUAAUUUGAUUCAUAGAGCUCUGUUCCAUGAGAACGUUUUACUCUAUAUAUUGGUCAACAAGCACAUUUUCUUCUAAAAUAAGGGCCUCCAACCUGUUUUUUGGUUUUGUUUUGAUUUGUUUCUGUCCCUAGCAUGGUCUUUCCUCCGGGUGACUUUAACUUUGUCCUGCACUCCGGGUGGUGGUGGGGCUCUCGCGGCCGUGGGAAGGAAAUGUCACGCCUCUUGGUUUUGUCACUGCUGAGGCGGGGUGACGUCUGUUAAUUCUAGGCCCAGUUUUUGCAGAAACAGGUUGCGCCCUUUGCAUCUGGAGUAGUCCAGUGACCAUAGUCAAUGGUGUCUGUCCCCAGGUCUGGUUUUGCUUUAGGGUGAAAGCGACUCUACCUUCCAGCUUGUCUGGGAUGCUCCCACUGUACACCUGCUACCCCAGUAUAGUUACUACAAGCACAUCUUUCCUCAGGUUUUGGCAGAGAGAGGCCAGGUUCCAAGUGUGUUUUACUUUAAACCCAAUACUGUUCUAUUGGGCAAGAGAAACCAUUGUUGGUAACUUAGUAACAAGGGGUCUACGUGAAUAGGUUUCUGAUCCAGGAAAUGGAUCUCAAUUAUUCAUUUAAGAGAUAUUCACUCACCACCUGUUUUGUGUUAGAUGCUGUUCUAGGUAUAGGGAAUAUAGACGUGAAGAAAACAGAGUCGUGCCCUGAACAAGCUUCUGUUUUUUUGGCAGGGGAGACAGACAGUGAUGAAAAAAAAAAAAGAUACAAUUUAAUAUCAGGUAACAAUAAAUGCCAUAAAGAAAUAAAGCCGAGGUUGGGGAUAGGAAUGUUGCCAGAAGUGCUGAUUUAGAUGGGGUGACCAGCGACAUCUUGUGACAAGGUGACAUCCGAACUGUCAUUAAUUCAUCUCAGAGCCAGGGCAACAGGCAAAGCCUCCUUGAAUUACCUCUGAUGCUCCUGGAGCAGCCUGGAGCCUUACCAGGCAAAGGGCAGCGGUAGUUUGUUUGGUGUGUUAUCUUCAAUCGCUGUCAACUUGCUUUCCACUUCUUAUCUGCAGUCCCACCAAUCCUAUACUAAACAUUUUCUACCUGGUGUAUUCCCCAUGUCUCAUUUCCCGUCAGCUUAAAAGCUGGGAGAGGUAUGGAGAGAGGUGGGCACUUUUAAAUAGGGUGCAGCAACACUGCAGUAUGUUCCCUGCGGCUGUUUCCUGUCCAUCAGGUGACUCGGGGCGGGGGAAAGAAAGACCUUCUGGGAAAUUCUUUCUAUGCCCCAGGUCCUAAUUCAGAGCUUCCUGCCAUCUGAGAGGACUGCGCCGUUUCCUGAACUUUACAGAGGGAAGGGAGAUGGGUGCCUAGAUCCAAAAAUUUCAGACCGAAGUGUUUGCCAAGUGCUUUGCAAUCUGCCUUUCCACAGUUCUCUCAUUAUCCCCAUGAUGGGGUUUGUCGUGCUGGGGCUGCACUUCACUGAAUCAGUGCAGGGACAGAUGGAGGUGGCAGAAUGGAGGAGAAGAGCAAGGAGUGACAUUGAGCUGUGCGCUCUCCACAGGGAUGGUCUGUCUAUGGGCUUCCUGUGGGGACAAGCCUCUGACGGGUGCACGGGAUAAGCUUUCAGUAAAAGCUACGGCAUCAAUCAGAUAUCCAAGGUGAAGGGGAGCUUCUGUUUGCCUGCAAAGUUAUUAUUAUGACUUCUUUUGUCUUUUCAGGGCCGCACCUGUGGCAUAUGGAAGUUCCCAGGCUAGGGGUUGAAUCAGAGAUGCAACUGCCAGCCUACAUCACAGCCAUAGCAAUGCGGGAUCUGAGCCGUGUCUGUGACCUACACCACAGCUCAUUGGCAACGCCAGAUCCGUAACCUGCUGAGUGAGGCCAGGGAUUGAACCCAAGUCCUCAUGGAUACUAGUCAGGUUCAUUACUGCUGAGCCACCGUGGGAACUCCUGAAAAAUUUUGAAUGCAAUUAAUUUUAAAUUAAGAGAUCCUGCUGUUGAAGAGGAAUGCUAUUUCCAAUCCUUUUGCAGGGUGAAUUUUCCUCAUCAGGAUAUCAUAAAGAAUUGUAAAGAAAUGACACUUAAGGAGUUCCGGACUAGCAUCCAUAAGGACAAGGGUUUGAGACCUGGCCUUGCUCAGAGGGUUAAGGAUCUGGCAUUGCCGUGAGCUGUGGUGUAGGUCGCAGAUGUGGCUCGCAUCCUACGUUGCCGUGGCUGUGGCAUAGGCCAGCCACGAUAGCUAUGAUUGGACCCCUAGCCUGGGAACCUUCCUAUGCCCCGGGUGUGGCUCUAAAAAGACAAAAGACCAAAAAAAAAAAAAAAAAAAAA
rnacentral:lncRNA from 1 species